AAUUUCAAGAUGAUUUCUUGAUGGUGAGUAGUGCUAUUUAUUACUUAUUUUGAGACAUUUUGGUAAAGGAAUUUCCACAAAACAAAGAAAAUAACGGAGAGCUCAAAAACCACUUUAUUGAUAUGAACAGAACAAUGAAUACAAAUCUCAUUAUCUUUACAUCUUCUUAUAGAGCUAUGGUAACAGAAUAAAGAAACAGAAUUAUUCCCAUCCUUGAAUCAUGCUCAAUCCUCAGCUUCUCUUUCCAUCUGUCCUCUUUCAAUUGCUUGCCUUCAGCAGACAUAUAACAACCUAACUGUUUCACAACCAACAGCUUCUCCUGCCACUUAUUAUUUCUUUCAAUCUUCGAUCCACACCGUUUUAUUAAUUCGCAACACACCAUUUUACUCGUCUGCUCAUUUUCUUGUAUCAAUUUGUUACAAAUUUUAACCAUAAUACGAAAGUGGGAAUCUGCAUAUUCUUAUGUCCAAAAUUUAACUUUUAAUCCACAGAACCACUCACUUAAAGAAGUGGUCUAUACCACUUGACAAAUAUGUAUCUCAUUGUGAUGAUAGAAAAAUUCUGUCUGAGAGAUUUAUUUUAAAAGAAUAGUGGCCAAAGGCUCAUUUUUGCUCUACAACUAUGGGAUGCAAUGAAAUUUCACUCAUACUUUAAUUGGGCUCAAUUAAGCCCUCUUAAUACUUGAUUUUGUACAAUUGAGCCUAGAAUUUCCAAAUUAAAUCAUGUGAUACAUAUACAGUAGUUAAUGUCCUUCGUGCUUCAGAUGCUGUAGAUAGAGCAUUGGAAAAUUCCUAAACAGAAACAUUAUCAGAAAUAUCAACCUCUUAUACUUCUCCAUUUUUAUCUCUUGGGUUGAUUCUUGGGUGUUUCCUUGAAUAAUAAGUUUCACAAUUUCUCUAACAACUCUCCUUAUAGGUCUCAAUGCCAUCUCCAUCAUCAU
rnacentral:misc_RNA from 1 species